rnacentral:rRNA from 1 species
UACGAAGGGGGCGAGCGUUGUUCGGAUUUACUGGGCGUAAAGGGCGCGUAGGCGGCCGAUCAAGUCAGGCGUGAAAGCCCCGGGCUCAACCUGGGAAUGGCGCUUGGGACUGGUUGGCUUGAGUUCGGGAGAGGAGAGUGGAAUUCCCAGUGUAGAGGUGAAAUUCGUAGAUAUUGGGAAGAACACCGGUGGCGAAGGCGGCUACUCUGGGACGGUACUGACGC